UUGAGAGUGAAUUAAAUUGGAUUAAUUAAGAGCUAUAAUUGGCUAAAAUUACAUAGUAAUUCACUUGUUGUAAGUUAGGAUAAAUUUUAAUUAGCAGAGGUUCAUUUUAUCUCAUAUAAAGAUGACUUAGGAAGAUUAAGAGUGACUCCAUUGUGGAUUAAACAAGAGUCAUAAUUUCUAGAAUUCAUAUAGUUAUUUUACUUGUUAAAAACUAGAGUAAACUUCUAAGUAGUGGAGGUUUAUUUUAACUCACAAACAUGCA
rnacentral:lncRNA from 1 species